rnacentral:rRNA from 1 species
UACGAAGGGGGCUAGCGUUGCUCGGAAUCACUGGGCGUAAAGGGUGCGUAGGCGGGUCUUUAAGUCCGGGGUGAAAUCCUGGAGCUCAACUCCAGAACUGCCUUUGAUACUGAAGAUCUUGAGUUCGGGAGAGGUGAGUGGAACUGCGAGUGUAGAGGUGAAAUUCGUAGAUAUUCGCAAGAACACCAGUGGCGAAGGCGGCGCACUGGCCCGAUACUGACGCUGAGGCACGAAAGCGUGGGGAGCAAACAGG